GAUGAAGAACGUAGCGAAAUGCGAUAAGUAAUGUGAAUUGCAGAAUUCAGUGAAUCAUCGAAUCUUUGAACGCACAUUGCGCCCGCUAGUAUUCUGGCGGGCAUGCCUGUCCGAGCGUCAUUUCAACCCUCAAGCCCCCGGGCUUGGUGUUGGGGAUCGGCGAGCCACCGCGCCCGCCGUCCCCUAAAUCUAGUGGCGGUCUCGCUGUAGCUUCCUCUGCGUAGUAGCACACCUCGCACUGGGAAACAGCGCGGCCACGCCGUUAAACCCCCAACUUCUGAACGUUUGACCUCGGAUCAGGUAGGAAUACCCGCUGAACUUAAGCAUAUCAAUAAGCGGAGGA
rnacentral:misc_RNA from 1 species